AAGAGAGAGAGCCUCUGCCCUCCCACAGUGUGACCCUCCGACGGGGAGACAGGAGCAUCAACAUAUCCCUCUCCAGGAGCUGAAGUUCAUUAAGAUCAACAAUAAUUCUGUAUAACCAGGCAUUGUCUACUACCCUACCCGGUCUCUGGGAAUUCUCUAGAGUCCUGUUACAGGACCUGAGCCCUAGGACCAUGCCUCAGAACUACCUGGCAUGAUGACUCCUUGAUGUCCCCAGUCCAUCUGGCCGUGCUGCUGCUCCAGUUUCAACUGUUCUGCCUGCGGCUAUGAACCCUGACCUGUUCACCGGACGUGCUACCUGUCCCAGACCUGCUGUUUUCAACUCUCUAGGGACAGCAGGAGCGGUAGAGAUACUCUCAAUGAUCGGCUAUGAAAAGCCAACUGACAUUUACUCCUGAGGUGCUAACUUGUUGCACCCUCGACAACUACUGUGAUUAUUAUUAUUUGACUAUGCUGGUCAUUUAUGAACAUUUGAACAUCUUGGCCAUGUUCUGUUAUAAUCUCCACCCGGCACAGCCAGAAGAGGUCACCCCUCAUAGCCUGGUUCCUCUCUAGGUUUCUUCCUAGGUUUUGGCCUUUCUAGGGAGUUUUUCCUAGACACCGUGCUUCCACACCUGCAUUUCUUGCUGUUUGGGUUUUUAGGCUGGGUUUCUGUACAGCACUUUGAUAUACCAGCUGAUGUAAGAAGGGCUAUAUACAUACAUUUGAUUGAUUGAUUUGAUGACACCGAGGAAGCUCACAAACCCGCUCCACUACAGCCCUGUCGAUGUGAAUGGGGGCCUGCUCGACCCUCCAUUUUCUUUAGUCCACGAUCAGCUCCUUUAUCUUGCUGAUGUUGAGGGAGAGGUUGUUGUCCUGGCACCACACUGCCAGGUCUCUGACCUCCUCCCUAUAGGCCGUCUCAUCUUCGUCAGUGAUCAGGCUUACCCCCUUCUUGUCUUCUGCAAACUUAAUGAAGGUGUUGGAGUCAUGUGUGAACAGGGAGUACAGGAGGGGACUAAGCACGCACCCCUGAAGGGCCCCUGUGCUGAGGGUCAGCGUGGCAGAUGUGUUGUUGCCUACCCUCACCAUAUGGGGGCUGCCCGUCAGGAAGUCCAGGAUCCAGUUGCAGAGGGAGGUGUUCAGUCCCAGGGUCCUUAGCUUAAGUAUGAGCUUGUAGGGCAAUAUGGUGUUGAACGCUGAGCUGUAGUCAAUGAACAGCAUUCUCAUGUAGGUGUUCCUUAUGUCCAGUUGGGGCAGUGUCGGUUGCAUAAUUUGUGGAUCUGUUGGGGUGGUAUGAGAAUUGGAGGGGGUCCAGGGUGUCUGUGUUGAUGUGAGCCAUGACCAUUCUUUCAAAGCAUUUCAUGGAUACAGAUGUGAGUGCUAAGGGGAUAGUCAUUUAGACAGGUUACAUUGGUGUUCUUUGGCACAGGGACCAUGGUGGUCUGCUUGAAACAUGUAGGUAUUACAGACUGGGUCAGGGAGAGAUUGAAAAUGUCAGUGAAGACACUUUCCAACUGGUCAGCGCAUGCUCUGAGUAUGCAUCUGAGUAAUCAGUCUGAAUGUUAAACUGUUUAAUGAUCUUACUCACAUCGGCUAUGGAGAUAGUGAUUACACAGCUGUCCAGAACAGCUAGUAAUCUCAUGCAUGGUUCUGUUUUGCGAGCCUCAAAACGAGAAUAGAAGGCAUUUACCUCAUCUUGGGUCACUGGGUAGCUCGUGGCUGGGUUUCUGGUUCUAAUCCGGGAUAGUUUGUAAGCCCUGCCACAUCUAACAAGAGUCAGAGCUUGUGUAGUAAGAUUCGAUCUUAGUCCUGUAUUGACGCUUUGCCUGUUUGAUGGUUCGUCAGAGGGCACAGCAGGAUUUCUUAUAAGCGUCCAGAUUAGUUUCCUGCUCCUUGAAAGUGGCAGCUCUAGCCUUUAUCUUAGUGAGGAUGUUGCCUGUAAUCCAUGGCUUCUAGAGGUUUUUAGUUGCAUAGGUGACCUACUGGUAGAAAUGAGGUAAUACAGAUUUCAGUUCUGCUGCAUUAAAAUCACUGCCACUAGGAGUGCCGACUCUGUGAAUAUUUUCUUGUUUGCUUCUGGCCCUAUACAGCUUCUUGAGUGUGGUCUUAGUGCCAGCAUUGUUUUGCGGUGGUAAGUAGACAGCUUCGAAAAAUAUAGAUGAACACUCUCUUGGUAAAUAAUAUGGUCUUAUCAUGAGGUUAUCAUGAGGUAUUCUAACACAGGCGAGCAGAGCCUUGAAACUUCGCACAUCAGCUGUUGCUCUGAUGUUCAGAACCUCUUUUCGGUGAUAUGAAGAAGAAAAAACACAAAAUAGCACAAUGACACCUGCACACUGACCUCUCUACUAUCACAGGGGCCACUAAUGGUAUUUACGGACAUAUUCAAUCUCUCAAUCAGUAUAUUGUCCCCACUUGCUUCAAAAUAUCCACAAUUGUUCCUGUACCCAAGAAAGCAAAGAUAUCUGAACUAAAUGACUAUCUACCCAUAGCACGCUCUUCUUUCAUCAUGAAGUGCUUUGAGAGGCUAGUUAAGGAUCAUAUCACCUCCACCUGACCCAACACCCUAGAUCCACUACAAUUUGCAUACCGCCCCAACAGAUCCACAGAUGACGCAACACCAGAGCACUCCAAACUCAUCACUAAGCUCAGGGCCCUGUGUCUGAACCCCUCCCUGUGCAACUGGGUCCUAGACUUCCUGACGGGCUGACCCCAAGUGAUGAAGGUAGGCAACAAAAUCUCUGCCACACUGAUCCUCAACACAGGGGCCCCACAGAGGUGCGUGCUCAGUCUCCUACUGUACUCCCUGUUCACCCAUGACUACGUGGCCACGCACGUCUCCAACUCAAUCAUCAAGUUUGCUGACGACAACAGUGGUAGGCCUGAUUCCUAACAACGAUGAGACCGCCUACAGGGAGAAGGUGAGAGCCCUAGCGGAGUGGUGCCAGGAAAAUAACCUCUCUCUCAAUGUCAACAAAACUAAGGAGCUGAUCAUGGCCUGUAGGAGACAGCAAAGAGAGCACGCCCCCAUCCACAUUGACAGGGAUGCAGUGGAGAGAGUCAAAAGAUUAAAGUUCGUCAGGGUGUACAUCACUGAGGAGGACCUGAAAUGGUCCCAUUGCACUGACAGCGUGGUGAAGCGCCUCUUCAACCUCAGGAGGCUGAAAUUCGGAUUGGCUCCUGGAUCCAUGGCCUGUUCCCCCCACUACCAUCUACAAGGUAGAGACAGUACCGGUGCAUCAAAGCUGGGACUGUGAGACUGAAUAACAUCUAUCUACAGGUCAUCAGACUGUUAAACAGUCACGACUAACCGGCCGCCGCCCAGUACCCUACCCUGAAGUUCAGACACUGUCAAUAGCCGUCCACCAUCCGGUACUCUACCAUGCACCUUAGCGUCUGCUGCCAUAUGUACACAGAGCCAUUGAACAAGGGUCACUUUUAUAAUGUUUACAUACUGUUUUAUCCACUUUAUAUGUAUAUACUGUAUUCUAGUCAUGGCUUAUCCUAUAUAACUACUGCUAUACACACCUUUUCUAUUCACAUACUGUCUAUACACACCAUUCACAAAUACAGUACUAGUCAAAAGUUUGGACACACCUACUCAGGGUUUUUCAGGGUUUUCCUACAUUUGUACUAUUUUAUACAUUGUAGAAUAAUAGUGAG
ensembl:lncRNA